ACAGGACCUUAGUCUCGAGAACCGGGCGC
rnacentral:sRNA from 1 species